rnacentral:rRNA from 1 species
GGGGGGGGGGGGGGGGGGGGGGGGGGGGGGGGGGGCGGGCGGGGGGGGGGGGGGGGGGGCGGCGUGGCGGACGGGGGGCGGGCGGGGGAGGAAGGCGUGGGCAGCUGCCGGAUGGAGGGGGAGAACUACGGGAGACGGUAGCUAAUACCGCCUACCGUCGCAAGCCCAAGGAGGGCGGCCUUCGGCCCCCCUGCCAUCGCCUGUGCCCCGAUGGGAUGCGCGAGUAGGCGGGAUAACGGCUCACCUCGGCGACGAUCCCUAGCUGGUCUGAGAGGAUGACCAGCCACACUGGAACUGAGACACGGUCCAGACUCCUACGGGAGGCAGCAGUGGGGAAUAUUGCACAAUGGGCGCAAGCCUGAUGCAGCCAUGCCGCGUGUAUGAAGAAGGCCUUCGGGUUGUAAAGUACUUUCAGCGGGGAGGAAGGGAGUAAAGUUAAUACCUUUACUCAUUGACGUUACCCGAAGAAGAAGCACCGGCUAACUCCGUG